rnacentral:rRNA from 1 species
GAUGAACGCUGGCGGCGUGCCUAAUACAUGCAAGUCGAGCGAACGGACGAGAAGCUUGCUUCUCUGAUGUUAGCGGCGGACGGGUGAGUAACACGUGGAUAACCUACCUAUAAGACUGGGGUAACUUCGGGAAACCGGAGCUAAUACCGGAUAAUAUUUUGAACCGCAUGGUUCAAAAGUGAAAGACGGUCUUGCUGUCACUUAUAGAUGGAUCCGCGCUGCAUUAGCUAGUUGGUAAGGUAACGGCUUACCAAGGCAACGAUGCAUAGCCUACCUGAGAGGGUGAUCGGCCACACUGGAACUGAGACACGGUCCAGACUCCUACGGGAGGCAGCAGUAGGGAAUCUUCCGCAAUGGGCGAAAGCCUGACGGAGCAACGCCGCGUGAGUGAUGAAGGUCUUCGGAUCGUAAAACUCUGUUAUUAGGGAAGAACAUAUGUGUAAGUAACUGUGCACAUCUUGACGGUACCUAAUCAGAAAGCCACGGCUAACUACGUG